rnacentral:rRNA from 1 species
CAGGCCUAACACCAUGCAAGUCGAGCGGAAACGAUGGUAGCUUGCUACCAGGCGUCGAGCGGCGGACGGGUGAGUAAUACUUAGGAAUCUACCUAGUAGUGGGGGGAUAGCACGGGGAAACUCGUAUUAAUACCGCAUACGACCUACGGGAGAAAGGGGGCAGUUUACUGCUCUCGCUAUUAGAUGAGCCUAAGUCGGAUUAGCUAGAUGGUGGGGUAAAGGCCCUACCAUGGCGACGAUCUGUAGCUGGUCUGAGAGGAUGAUCAGCCACACCGGGACUGAGACACGGCCCGGACUCCUACGGGAGGCAGCAGUGGGGAAUAUUGGACAAUGGGGGAAGACCCUGAUCCAGCCAUGCCGCGUGUGUGAAGAAGGCCUUUUGGUUGUAAAGCACUUUAAGCAGUGAAGAAGACUCUUCGGUUAAUACCCGGAGACGAUGACAUUAGCUGCAGAAUAAGCACCGGCUAACUCUGUGCCAGCAGCCGCGGUAAUACAGAGGGUGCAAGCGUUAAUCGGAAUUACUGGGCGUAAAGCGAGCGUAGGUGGCUUGAUAAGUCAGAUGUGAAAUCCCCGGGCUUAACCUGGGAACUGCAUCUGAAACUGUUAGGCUAGAGUAGGUGAGAGGGAAGUAGAAUUUCAGGUGUAGCGGUGAAAUGCGUAGAGAUCUGAAGGAAUACCGAUGGCGAAGGCAGCUUCCUGGCAUCAUACUGACACUGAGGCUCGAAAGCGUGGGUAGCAAACAGGAUUAGAUACCCUGGUAGUCCACGCCGUAAACGAUGUCUACUAGUCGUUGGGUCCCUUGAGGACUUAGUGACGCAGCUAGCGCAAUAAGUAGACCGCCUGGGGAGUACGGCCGCAAGGUUAAAACUCAAAUGAAUUGACGGGGGCCCGCACAAGCGGUGGAGCAUGUGGUUUAAUUCGAUGCAACGCGAAGAACCUUACCUGGUCUUGACAUAUCUAGAAUCCUGCAGAGAUGCGGGAGUGCCUUCGGGAAUUAGAAUACAGGUGCUGCAUGGCUGUCGUCAGCUCGUGUCGUGAGAUGUUGGGUUAAGUCCCGCAACGAGCGCAACCCUUGUCCUUAGUUACCAGCGGGUUAAGCCGGGGACUCUAAGGAUACUGCCAGUGACAACUUGGAGAGAGGCGGGGACGACGUCAAGUCAUCAUGGCCCCUUACGACCAGGAAUCUUGCUAGAGAAC